CGGAACGGGUGAGUAACGCGUGGGGAACCUGCCUCAAAGAGGGGGACAACAGUUGGAAACGACUGCUAAUACCGCAUAAGCCCACGGCUCGGCAUCGAGCAGAGGGAAAAGGAGUGAUCCGCUUUGAGAUGGCCUCGCGUCCGAUUAGCUAGUUGGUGAGGUAACGGCCCACCAAGGCAACGAUCGGUAGCCGGACUGAGAGGUUGAACGGCCACAUUGGGACUGAGACACGGCCCAG
rnacentral:rRNA from 1 species